rnacentral:lncRNA from 1 species
CACACUUUAAUUGUUCCACUCUAGUGCCUUGGUCUGCAACCAGCAACCACGUAACUCUCGUUAGCCCUAAUUCUGAAUGAAGAAUCAUUGGUUAAUGGAGGAAGAUGGUGUAGUUCAUGCUAGUUCUGAAAUCAAUUUAAUCAACAAUGAAGACACCGUACUCUGAAACAAUACAUUCAUUGUCUUUUUAACCCUACAAAUCUUCGACAACCACAUGUUUCCGCCGCCUCUCUAUCGUACCUGAUUCAACACAACCACCGUCACAAGAAUUACCACAAUUCGUCAUCACUGUUCCCUCAGGCUCUCCUCAAAAGCGCUCAAACUGAAACAUCUGAUUCAAAUCGAACAAAUGGAUGAAAUACUAUCAACUUGAAGGUGAGUCCUAGUGCAUCACAUGUUUGAGAUUGAUCGCGUUUAUCUUAGCUCUGCUUAUUGUGUUGUUGUACUUGAUCAUGAAAGGAAGUGGACGUAUGUGUUGAGGAAGGAAGGGCUACCUGAUGUUGGUAAGCAAUUAUAUUGACCUGUUUAUCUUUGUUCUCCUUCUUGUUGCUAGCACAAAAUACCGUGGGGAAUUCGAAGAAAGAUUAAAGAAGUUAAUGGAAGAAACAACACAAAGUGAUGAUAUAAUUCUUUUUAUUGAUGAGGUUUACACUUUAAUUGGAGCUAGAGCAGCAGAAGUUGCUAUUGAUGCUGCUAAUAUAUUAAAAUGAGCCCUUACCAGAGGUGAAUUGCAGGUGGCAAUGUAUACACUUGAUAAAUACCGAAAACAUAUUGAAUAAUAUCCAGCGUUAGAGAGAUAUCCAGCGUUAGAGAGACGGUUCCAGCCAGUUAAGGUGAAACAAGCAAGGAUGAACAAACAAAAAUUUUGGCUUAUAGCCCCGAAGAAGCUCUGUAAUUGUUAUUGGAAUGGCUGGACUGCUUGAUUAUUUAUUUGUAUAACAUCAUUUUUUUCAUGUUUCCAUAUCAUACUCACUAGUUUGUUUGCAUGCCAACGUGUGUGAGAUAUCACCACUUUAUGCUGUACUUUUUUUUAUACACGCCCAAUUACUAACAUUGGUAGGUUUGUUUGUUUUUAUUGUAUUUAUAU